GUAGGUGGCAAGCGUUGUCCGGAAUUAUUAGGCGUAAAGCGCGCGCAGGCGGUUCUUUAAGUCUGAUGUGAAAGCCCACGGCUCAACCGUGGAGGGUCAUUGGAAACUGGAGAACUUGAGUACAGAAGAGGAAAGCGGAAUUCCACGUGUAGCGGUGAAAUGCGUAGAGAUGUGGAGGAACACCAGUGGCGAAGGCGGCUUUCUGGUCUGUAACUGACGCUGAGGCGCGAAGGCGUGGGGAGCAAACAGGAUUAGAUACCCUGGUAGUCCACGCCGUAAACGAUGAGUGCUAAGUGUUAGGGGGGUUUCCGCCCCCCUUAGUGCUGCAGCUAACGCAUUAAGCACUCCGCCCUGGGAGUACGGCCGCAAGGCUG
rnacentral:rRNA from 1 species